rnacentral:tRNA from 1 species
GAGGGUAUAGCUCAGUUGUACAGCGUGUGCUUAGCACACAUGAGGUUUUGGGUUCAAUCCCCAAUACCUCCA